rnacentral:rRNA from 1 species
UGUUCGCCCAUUAAAGUGGUACGCGAGCUGGGUUCAGAACGUCGUGAGACAGUUCGGUCCCUAUCCGUCGCAGGCGUAGGAAAUUUGAGAAGACCUGUCCUUAGUACGAGAGGACCGGGAUGGACGUGCCUCUGGUGUACCAGUUGUUCUGCCAAGGGCAUGGCUGGGUAGCUAUGUACGGAAUGGAUAAGCGCUGAAAGCAUCUAAGCGCGAAGCCAACUUCAAGAUAAGAUUUCCCACCGCAAGGGUAAGACCCCAGAAAGACUAUCUGGUUGAUAGGUCGAAGGUGUAAGUGCAGCAAUGUAUUUAGCUUAUCGAUACUAAUAGGUCGAGGACUUGACCAAAUU